CAACCCCUCAAGCGCUGUUCCGCUUGGAGUUGGGGCUCUUGCAGCGAGCACAUGGUGCCCUGCAAGCCCUGAAAUACAGCGGCGGGCCCGCCGGCACACCGAGCGCAGUAAUACUACUUCUCGUUCAGGGCGUGCGGCGCGGCGCAGCUGACCCCAAACUUUUACAA
rnacentral:misc_RNA from 1 species